UCACUGUUAUGUGUGCUCUUCAAAGUCGGUUUUUUUUCUUGCAUGAAUUACUUCAAUUGAAGAUGAGAUUCCAAAGUCAAUUUGACGCUCAAUCAAUCUAUGUUUCUUAAUUAUGAUGCCUUGUCCAGAUGGUUGAGUUCAUUGAUGUUCUGUUGACAGCUGACAACCAAGCUGCAGAAGAGGAAUGGGUUAACUCUGUAAUGAUUAAAAAAGUUGUACCCAUACAAUAAUAUAUUACAUCAUCAUGUGGAAAGCAUAAUAUCAUCCUGCCUUGAGAGCCGGAAUGAUUAUGUAAGUGAUCAUUGAUUCCUGAUGCUGGUAAGCAUCAUAUUCUUUCUAGUGAUCUUGAACUCGUAGAAAGAUAGUGCCUUUUGCUGAUAACUUAGUCUUCCGAGCUUCAAAAUGCCAAUACAAUGAAUGUUCUCUUAGUAGAAGUCCUGUUAAAUUUAGUUGAAUUCUAUAGCAUGUUCAAGUGUCAAGUACCUUGAUCUUAUUUAUAUUUAGGAGUCAAGCAUCAUUUUGUAUAGAUUUCAUUGAAUUGGUGCAUGUAACAUUUACCUCCUGAAUUGUGUUGUAAUUAGUAAUGAAAGAUGUGUGUAUGAUGGUUUAGUUCUACAUCAAGGUUGACUACGUGUGCAAUGGAUUUUCA